UACGGGGGGGGCAAGCGUUGUUCGGAAUUACUGGGCGUAAAGGGCUCGUAGGCGGCCAACUAAGUCAGACGUGAAAUCCCUCAGCUUAACUGGGGAACUGCGUCUGAUACUGGAUGGCUUGGAUUCGGGAGAGGAAUGCGGAAUUCCAGGUGUAGCGGUGAAAUGCGUAGAUAUCUGGAGGAACACCGGUGGCGAAGGCGGCAUUCUGGACCGAUACUGACGCUGAGACGCGAAAGCGUGGGGAGCGAACAGG
rnacentral:rRNA from 1 species